GCAUAGUUCAAGGUAGAACAGUGGUCUCCAAAACCAUCGAUGUGGGUUCGAUUCCUACUGCU
rnacentral:tRNA from 1 species